UUAGCUUGCUAAGACUGAUGGCGACCGGCGCACGGGUGAGUAACACGUAUCCAACCUGCCGUCUACUCUUGGACAGCCUUCUGAAAGGAAGAUUAAUACAAGAUGGCAUCAUGAGUCCGCAUGUUCACAUGAUUAAAGGUAUUCCGGUAGACGAUGGGGAUGCGUUCCAUUAGAUAGUUGGCGGGGUAACGGCCCACCAAGGCGACGAUCGGUAGCCGACCUGAGAGGGUGAUCGGCCACAUUGGGACUGAGACACGGCCCAAACUCC
rnacentral:rRNA from 1 species